rnacentral:rRNA from 1 species
GAUGAACGCUGGCGGCGUGCCUAAUACAUGCAAGUCGAGCGAAUGGAUUAAGAGCUUGCUCUUAUGAAGUUAGCGGCGGACGGGUGAGUAACACGUGGGUAACCUGCCCAUAAGACUGGGAUAACUACGGGAAACCGGGGCUAAUACCGGAUAACAUUUUGAACCGCAUGGUUCGAAAUUGAAAGGCGGCUUCGGCUGUCACUUAUGGAUGGACCCGCGUCGCAUUAGCUAGUUGGUGAGGUAACGGCUCACCAAGGCAACGAUGCGUAGCCGACCUGAGAGGGGUGUCGGCCACACUGGGACUGAGACACAGCCCAGACUCCUACGGGAGGCAGCAGUAGGGAAUCUUCCGCAAGGGACGAAAGUCUGACGGAGCAACGCCGCGUGAGUGAUGAAGGAUUUCGGGUCGUAAAACUCUGUUGUUAGGGAAGAACAAGUGCUAGUUGAAUAAGCUGGCACCUUGACGGUACCUAACCAGAAAGCCACGGCUAACUACGUGCCAGCCGCCGCAGUAA